rnacentral:lncRNA from 1 species
AAAGAAGAAGAAAAAGGUAAACAUAAUAGGCAUGGUCUUGCUGACCUCUCAGAACCGCAGCUGAGGACUCUUUGCAUAGAGGUGUGGCCCGUGCUAGCAGUGAUAGGAGGAGUUGAUGCUGGUCUUAGAGUUGGAGGUCGGUGUGUUCACAAGCAAACUGGGCGCCAUGCCACGCUGCUGGGAGUGGUCAAAGAAGGCAGCACAUCUGCCAAGGUCCAGUGGGAUGAAGCAGAAAUUACCAUCAGAAUCAACACUGCCAGGUGUGGAAUCCCAACAUCAAAUAACAGAA